rnacentral:rRNA from 1 species
AUUGAACGCUGGCGGCAGGCUUAACACAUGCAAGUCGAGCGAGCGGCGGACGGGUGAGUAAUGUCUGGGAAACUGCCUUAUGGAGGGGGAUAACUACUGGAAACUGUAGCUAAUACCGCAUACCAUCAGAUGUGCCCAGUUGGGAUUAGGUAUUGGGGGGGGUAAUGUCUCACCUAGGCGACGAUCCCUAGCUGGUCUGAGAGGAUGACCAGCCACACUGGGACUGUGACACGGCCCAGACUCCUACGUGAGUCAGCAGAGGGGAAGAUUGCACAAUGGGCGCAAGCCUGAUGCAGCCAUGCCGCGUGUAUGAAGAAGGCCUUAGGGUUGUAAAGUACUUUCAGCGAGGAGGCGUUACUCGCAGAAGAAGCACCGGCUAACUCCGUGCCAGCAGCCGCGGUAAUAG